UCAAAUUUGAAAUCUGGUAGCCUUCGGUUGCCCGAGUUGUAAUCUAGAGAAGUGUUUUCCGUGCCGGCCCAUGUACAAGUCCCUUGGAACAGGGCGUCAUAGAGGGUGAGAAUCCCGUCCUUGACAUGGACCCCCGGUGCUUUGUGAUACACUUUCAACGAGUCGAGUUGUUUGGGAAUGCAGCUCAAAAUGGGUGGUGAAUUCCAUCUAAAGCUAAAUAUUGGCGAGAGACCGAUAGCGAACAAGUACCGUGAGGGAAAGAUGAAAAGCACUUUGGAAAGAGAGUUAAACAGUACGUGAAAUUGUUGAAAGGGAAACGAUUGAAGUCAGUCAUGCUCUUGGGACUUACCUCCCUUGAGUGGGGUCAACAUCAGUUUUGAUCGAUGGAUAAAGGCACGGGGAAGGUAGCACUCUCGGGUGAACUUAUAGCCUCGCGUCAUAUACAUUGAUUGGGACUGAGGAACGCAGCAUGCCUUAUGGCCGGGAUUCGUCCACGUACAUGCUUAGGAUGUUGACAUAAUGGCUUUAAACGACCCGUCUUGA
rnacentral:rRNA from 1 species